rnacentral:rRNA from 1 species
AUUGAACGCUGGCGGCAGGCCUAACACAUGCAAGUCGAGCGAGCGGCGGACGGGUGAGUAAUGUAUGGGGAUCUGCCCGAUAGAGGGGGAUAACUACUGGAAACGGUAGCUAAUACCGCAUACUAUCGGAUGAACCCAUAUGGGAUUAGCUAGUAGGUGGGGUAAAGGCUCACCUAGGAGACGAUCCCUAGCUGGUCUGAGAGGAUGACCAGCCACACUGGGACUGAGACACGGCCCAGACUCCUACGGGAGGCAGCAGUGGGGAAUAUUGCACAAUGGGCGCAAGCCUGAUGCAGCCAUGCCGCGUGUAUGAAGAAGGCCUUCGGGUUGUAAAGUACUUUCAGCGGGGAGGCGUUACUCGCAGAAGAAGCACCGGCUAACUCCGUGCCAGCAGCCGCGGUAAUUC